rnacentral:rRNA from 1 species
GACGAACGCUGGCGGCGUGCCUAAUACAUGCAAGUCGAGCGGAACUGGGGGAGCUUGCUCCUUCCAGUUUAGCGGCGGACGGGUGAGUAACACGUGGGCAACCUGCCCUGCAGAUCGGGAUAACUCCGGGAAACCGGUGCUAAUACCGAAUAGUUUGAGGCCUCUCCUGAGGCUUCACGGAAAGACGGUUUCGGCUGUCACUGCAGGAUGGGCCCGCGGCGCAUUAGCUAGUUGGUGGGGUAACGGCCCACCAAGGCCACGAUGCGUAGCCGACCUGAGAGGGUGACCGGCCACCCUGGGACUAAGACACGGCCCAGACUCCUACGGGAGGCAGCAGUAGGGAAUCUUCCGCAAUGGACGCAGGUCUGACGGAGCAUCGCCGCGUGAGUGACGAAGGUUUUCGGAUCGUAAAACUCUGUUGUGAGGGAAGAACACGUACCAACUAACUAUUGGUACCUUGACGGUACCUCACCAGAAAGCCACGGCUAACUACGUGCCAGCCGCCGCCGUAA